rnacentral:rRNA from 1 species
AACGAACGCUGGCGGCAGGCUUAACACAUGCAAGUCGAGCGCCCCGCAAGGGGAGCGGCCGCCGGGUGAGUAACGCGUGGGAACGUACCUGUUGGUUCGGAACAACUCCGGGAAACUGGAGCUAAUACCGGAUAAGCCCUAACGGGGAAAGAUUUAUCGCCGAAAGAUCGGCCCGCGUCUGAUUAGCUAGUUGGUGAGGUAACGGCUCACCAAGGCGACGAUCAGUAGCUGGUCUGAGAGGAUGAUCAGCCACACUGGGACUGAGACACGGCCCAGACUCCUACGGGAGGCAGCAGUGGGGAAUAUUGGACAAUGGGCGCAAGCCUGAUCCAGCCAUGCCGCGUGAGUGAUGAAGGCCUUAGGGUUGUAAAGCUCUUUUGUCCGGGAAGAUAAUGACUGUACCGGAAGAAUAAGCCCCGGCUAACUUCGUG